rnacentral:rRNA from 1 species
GCUUGACUGUAGCUUGUAAUUGGGUUCGGGCUUUUUUGCGCAGCCUAGGUGGGAGGCAACGAUGAUUUUUUUCCGGAAAAAUUUAAGCCGUUAGUGAGAGACCACUCUGAAAAGGCUAGAAUCCUAAUAAUGAUCCUUGAAUCAGGACAUUUGACAGUUGCAGGUGGGCAGUUUUACUGGGGCGGUAUUCUCCUAAAAAGUAACGGAGGGGUGCAAAGGUUCCCUCAAGCUGGACGGAAAUCAGCUUAAGAGUGUAAAGGCAAAAGGGAGCUUGACUGCAAGACCUACAAGUCGAGCAGGGGGCGAAAGCCGGCCUUAGUGAUCCGACGGUACCACGUGGAAGGGCCGUCGCUCAACGGAUUAAAAGUUA